CGCAGUCGCCACGGUAAUACGUAGGUGGCAAGCGUUGUCCGGAAUUAUUGGGCGUAAAGGGCUCGCAGGCGGUUUCUUAAGUCUGAUGUGAAAGCCCCCGGCUCAACCGGGGAGGGUCAUUGGAAACUGGGAAACUUGAGUGCAGAAGAGGAGAGUGGAAUUCCACGUGUAGCGGUGAAAUGCGUAGAGAUGUGGAGGAACACCAGUGGCGAAGGCGACUCUCUGGUCUGUAACUGACGCUGAGGAGCGAAAGCGUGGGGAGCGAACAGGAUUAGAUACCCCCGUAGUCCCUGUCUCUUAUACACC
rnacentral:rRNA from 1 species